rnacentral:rRNA from 1 species
UACGGAGGGUGCAAGCGUUGUCCGGAAUCACUGGGCGUAAAGGGCGCGUAGGCGGCUCAUGAAGGCUGUGGUGAAAGUCCGGGGCUCAACCUCGGAUCGGCCGUGGCGACUCGUGGCUGGAGCACUGUAGAGGCGGGUGGAAUUCCGGGUGUAGCGGUGGAAUGCGUAGAGAUCCGGAAGAACACCAGUGGCGAAGGCGGCCCGCUGGGCAGUGGCUGACGCUGAGGCGCGACAGCGUGGGGAGCAAACAGG